GCGUACUCGUGACGCAAUACGCAAGGCCUUUACUGGCUACAAGUACGUGAUGACGAAAGACGCUCUCUCUUUGCCGCAUCUCUUUCGAGAAUGAAGACCAUUCUCAGCAAUCAGACUGUCGACAUUCCAAAAAAUGUUGACAUCACUCUGAAGGGACGCACAGUUAUUGUGAAGGGCCCCAGAGGAACCCUGCGGAGGGACUUCAACCACAUUAAUGUAGAACUCAGUCUCCUUGGAAAGAAAAAGAAGAGGCUCCGGGUUGACAAAUGGUGGGGAAACAGAAAGGAACUGGCUACUGUUCGCACAAUCUGUAGUCACGUACAGAACAUGAUCAAGGGUGUUACACUGGGCUUCCGAUACAAGAUGAGGUCUGUGUAUGCUCACUUCCCCAUCAACGUCGUUAUUCAGGAGAAUGGGUCUCUUGUAGAAAUCCGGAAUUUCUUGGGUGAAAAAUACAUCCGCCGGGUUCGUAUGAGGGCAGGUGUUGCUUGCUCAGUAUCUCAAGCCCAGAAAGAUGAACUAAUCCUUGAAGGAAAUGACAUUGAGCUUGUUUCAAAUUCAGCUGCUUUGAUUCAGCAAGCAACCACAGUCAAAAACAAAGAUAUCAGAAAAUUUUUGGAUGGCAUCUAUGUUUCUGAAAAGGGAACAGUUCAGCAGCCUGAUGAAUAAGAUCCAAGAGAUUUUGCAGAGUAAGAUAAUUGACAUUUUACUGUGAAUCAACAUUUGCAUUUCUUUUUACAGUUAUCCAGCUACACAAACAAGCUUGUGGAUUGGAAGAUAAAUUUGUGAUAUUUUAAUGAUGGCAAUAAAAGAUCUCUAUUGAUUUGAGACUUGUUCUUAAUCCUUUCCAACUGCUUGGCAAAUAAACAGCUUGAAGAAUGA